rnacentral:ncRNA from 25 species
CGGCCGGCACCGAAAUGGCGGGAUGGCCGGUGACGUCCGUGGGUGCGGUGUUGGCCGCCUUGCCGAUCGCCUGGGCGAGCAGC